GGGGUUAGCCGCAAGCUUUUCCGGAAGGUUUUUUUUUUCGCUUUCCCGGAUUAUUUGCUACUUUCCCACCCGAAUAUUAACGAAGUCCGACCCUGCUUAGUUUUUUAACAGCCGCUGCUAACAGGCUGGCAUGCAAAUACAAAUGCAGGUGUGACACUGUACUGAGAUUUCUCAGAAAUUUUGAAGUAUCUUCAACAUCAAGCACUUUUUCAGCAUUAUAAAACAUGGCAACAGGAUCAAAAGUAAAGAAAGCUUGCCUCCAGUGAAGAAUAGAAUUUGAUUGAUGGGUAAAAAAUGUAGAGAACGAUCUGUGCCAGGAAAAUAAUAUAGGCUUGAUGUAUGUGCCUCUAGUAAGACCAAGAAUGCACAGAACCUAGAAAAAAAAACUGCUUGAGAGCUGCAAAAGCCUUUAGCCAAUGACAUCACAGAAAUAAAGAAUGAUUGCCAUUUGUUCUAUUUUACCAAUGGAAGAAAAUUGAUUUCUUGCCUGAUCAUUCUAAGGAAAUGCAUUCUCAAUUUUUAAUGGAUUGUUAUUGUUGUUUUGUUUCCAUUUCUGCAGCAAAAUGGAGAAUAAUAUUUUUGUUAUUGCUGUUUAACCUACUGAUUAAAGGUACUAGUCCUGCAUUAC